UACGGAGGGUGCAAGCGUUGCUCGGAAUUAUUGGGCGUAAAGGGUAGGUAGGUGGUCUCAUUUGUCUGGGGUGAAAGCCUUGGGCUUAACCCAAGAAGUGCCCCAGAAACGGUGAGACUAGAGUCCUGGAGAGGGUCGUGGAAUUCCCGGUGUAGCGGUGAAAUGCGCAGAUAUCAGGAGGAACACCAGCGGCGAAGGCGGCGCUCUGGGCCGGAACUGACGCUGAGGAGCGAAAGCGUGGGUAGCAAACAGG
rnacentral:rRNA from 1 species